rnacentral:pre_miRNA from 14 species
UGUCCUUUUUCGGUUAUCAUGGUACCGAUGCUGUAGAUCUGAAAGGUACAGUACUGUGAUAGCUGAAGAAUGGUG